rnacentral:rRNA from 1 species
AGUGAACGCUGGCGGCAGGCCUAACACAUGCAAGUCGAACGGCAGCACAAGAGAGCUUGCUCUCUGGGUGGCGAGUGGCGGACGGGUGAGGAAUGCAUCGGAAUCUGCCCAUUUGUGGGGGAUAACCUCGGGAAACCGGGACUAAUACCGCAUACGACCUACGGGUGAAAGCAGGGGAUCUUCGGACCUUGCGCAGAUGGAUGAGCCGAUGCCGGAUUAGCUAGUUGGAGGGGUAAAGGCCCACCAAGGCGACGAUCCGUAGCUGGUCUGAGAGGAUGAUCAGCCACACUGGGACUGAGACACGGCCCAGACUCCUACGGGAGGCAGCAGUGGGGAAUAUUGGACAAAGGGCGCAAGCCUGAUCCAGCCAUGCCGCGUGUGUGAAGAAGGCCUUCGGGUUGUAAAGCACUUUUGUCGGGAAAGAAAAGCAGCCGGUUAAUACCCGGUUGUCAUGACGGUACCCAAAGAAUAAGCACCGGCUAACUUCGUG